GACGAACGCUGGCGGCGUGCCUAAUACAUGCAAGUAGAACGCUGAAGGAGGAGCUUGCUUCUCUGGAUGAGUUGCGAACGGGUGAGUAACGCGUAGGUAACCUGCCUGGUAGCGGGGGAUAACUAUUGGAAACGAUAGCUAAUACCGCAUAACAGUAGAUACCGCAUGAUAUCUACUUGAAAGGUGCAAUUGCAUCACUACCAGAUGGACCUGCGUUGUAUUAGCUAGUUGGUGAGGUAACGGCUCACCAAGGCGACGAUACAUAGCCGACCUGAGAGGGUGAUCGGCCACCCUGGGACUGAGACACGGCCCAGACUCCUACGGGAGGCAGCAGUAGGGAAUCUUCGGCAAUGGACGGAAGUCUGACCGAGCAACGCCGCGUGAGUGAAGAAGGUUUUCGGAUCGUAAAGCUCUGUUGUAAGAGAAGAAAGAGUGUGAGAGUGGAAAGUUCACACUGUGACGGUAUCUUACCAGAAAGGGACGGCUAACUACGUG
rnacentral:rRNA from 1 species